rnacentral:rRNA from 1 species
UACGUAGGGUGCAAGCGUUGUCCGGAAUUAUUGGGCGUAAAGAGCUCGUAGGCGGCUUGUCGCGUCGGCUGUGAAAACCCGGGGCUCAACCCCGGGCCUGCAGUCGAUACGGGCAGGCUAGAGUCCGGCAGGGGAGACUGGAAUUCCUGGUGUAGCGGUGAAAUGCGCAGAUAUCAGGAAGAACACCAAUGGCGAAAGCAGCUCUCUGGGACGGUACUGACGCUGAGACGCGAAAGCGUGGGGAGCGAACAGG